GCUGCUAGGAGGCAUACAUGUUGUUCUGUGUGUUCGGUAGCUGCUGGAAUCAACCAGCCAGUCUGCACUGGGCUAUGAGGUAAGGGAAAAGAAUCAGAGACCAGCAAUACUGGUGCUCUGCAAUUCUCCCUGUGUGAGGCAUGCCUCCUUCCUCCUCCACAUGAAGCCACUAAUUUUCAGUUCUCUGAUUAACACAGCCAAAUGUAAUUCCUAACUAAAACAGAAUAUGGUAUCAGAGCUGGCAGGGGGUGUGAGGAGGAAAGGUUGCUUCAGCUAACAGAAACUAAAAUGUUUAAUUUGCUCAAUGGAAGAGGUGGGAUGGUGAAGGCACUAUUGCAGGGAGUAAACCAGGAUGAUCCAUAUUAAAUGUGGCAAAAUGUCUUUUCAGACUUUAGGAAUGCUGUCUACUGACUCCUAAGUAAUACAAAAUGUUGGCAUGUGUUGGACCCUUCUUGUUGCUUUUAGCAAAGCCCUAAGGGAGUGAUGAACUAAUUCAACGGACACACAGCCUACAAACAGAUGCAGAAGAAAAUCCAGCACUGCUAAGAAAAGUGCUUCACUCAAGACCUUCAAUUGAAGUUGUUGAGAAUCUCAAAAGUUGGAACUUUUUGAUAGGUAGGAUACGUUUGAUGGCUGGAAAAGAAACUCAAAAUAUAAUGGAAAAGAAAGACAGAACCUUAGCUCUCUCUCCUGCAAUAGCCUGAGUGAAGCAAAACCACUGUAAAGGAGCAUGGCCUCUGACGAAGUACCUCAAAAGCUAAGCUCCCAUCAAUCCUGGAGAGAUAGAAUCAGCGGAGCAUAGUGAUGGAAUGAAUGGUUGAAAAGAACAGCGGUGACCAAAGAACUUUUUAUGCAGAGAAAACCCCAAAUCUGGGGCAAAGCCCUCCUGUUCAUUUUAUCUCACAAAAGGUAGGUAGUGCUGCCUGCCAAGGUAAUGCAUUACUACACUAUUUGGAAAAACUACAGUUCUAAUUAGAUGAGCAAAUAAAUGUUCAUUUCAAUUUAUUAAUAUAGCUGUAGGCCUUGUUACAAUUUAUCUCUUGGUUCUGAGACCAAUCCAUCUCGAGCUGGGAAUCAUUGUGGAGAAGUAACGGGUUUUAAUAAUGGAUACAGGCGGUGAAUUAUUCAGGCAGAUGGGAGCAAGCCUUGAUGCCUUCACUCACUUCUUUAAUUAACUGUGAGAAUCUGACGAGUCUGGGCUGUCUUGAGGCUUUCUAAGUUUAUCUCCAUCAGAACUGUGAAUUUUUCUUGAGCCAUGGAUAUGUUGUGUUCCAGCUCAUCCUUAUCCGAGGAAAAAAGGAACGCCCAUUCUCCUGUCACCAUUUUGUCUUAUUGUCUGAAUUUCUUUGUCUACUUCAAUAUUAUUUUCAUGCAACUCUUUGAGUAAUUAACAUUUUUCUUGAUAAAACCCACACCUUCAUUCCAUUGUACCUAAGGAUACGACAUUAGCAAAACAGAAUCCAAAAUAGUUCAAAUCUGAUUUAAGUUUGGGAACUAACCCAUAAACAAAACAAAAUCCUGUUCUGGUCACUGGAGCCUAUUUGCUUGACUUAAAGCCAUUUGUUUUAGUGGCUUAGAAAGAAAUGAACUGCUAGAAAAGAAUUUUUAGAGUCUCCGUUUGACAGACCAUCAAGCAAACAAAACUAACUCUUAUGAGAUACAGAUUGCAUAAUUUGCAUGGAACAGGGUUUAUUAGUUAUGGAGCUUUGCAAUGUGUCCUAGUGAUUCCUAUAAAUGAAAGUCUAUCAGGGCUUGGCAUUAAACAAAUAACAGGACAUGGUCUUGUCCAGUGAAUUUUCUCUUGUGCUUAACAGUGAUUUUCUCAGUGGGAAAUGCAUCUAACUUGUAGAUCUUCGCCCCAGUGUAAAUCAACGGUUUUGCUCUGAGCACAUUAAUACCAUGCUUAGAUAACUGACGGCCCUUAUUUGAGCAAUCUACUUUGCUAUUACCUUUUACUGUGAAAUCUUUUUUUUUUUUUCCCAAAAGUGCAUGUAAGCUGCUACACAACCACUUAUAAAUGCCGUGACAAGAGAGUUCCUCUUUCAAUUUUGUCACAGAAGAGAGAAAGUAAGAAUCUGGGGGAGGUCUGAGCUCACCACUUCUCGGUAGAAAUUGAAUCACGAUUUCUAUAAAUCAAAAGUCAUGUUAAAAGCACUGUGAAGUAAACAAUGAUGUAUA